AUAUUGGACAAUGGGCGCAAGCCUGAUCCAGCCAUGCCGCGUGUGUGAAGAAGGCCUUCGGGUUGUAAAGCACUUUUGUUGGGGAAGAAAAGCCAUGGGUUAAUACCCUGUGGUUCUGACGGUACCCAAAGAAUAAGCACCGGCUAACUUCGUGCCAGCAGCCGCGGUAAUACAGAGGGUGCAAGCGUUGCUCGGAAUUACUGGGCGUAAAGCGUACGCAGACGGUGAGAAAGGUCGGAUGUGAAAGCCCCGGGCUCAACCCGGGAACUGCAUCCGAAACCAUCUCGCUAGAGUGUGGGAGAGGGAAGCGGAAUUCCUGGUGUAGAGGUGAAAUUCGUAGAUAUCAGGAGGAACACCGGCGGCGAAGGCGGCUUCCUGGCCCAUUACUGACGUUCAGGUACGAAAGCGUGGGUAGCAAACAGG
rnacentral:rRNA from 1 species